rnacentral:lncRNA from 1 species
GUUAUGAAUAGGUCCUCUGAACUUUGGGUCAAAUUUCCUUGGUUCACCGUAGGGAGGCGCAGAGGCUUCUCCUUUCCUCGCCAUCGUCCCCCGAUGCCCUCUGUGCUACAGUAGCCCGCCGAUCAGCGCACUCUUUGUUGCCGUGAAGGCAUGAGAGGAGGUAGCGGCCGCGCAGCCCCGCUCCGCUCCGCUCCGCCGCUGGGAACGCCGCCCGCGCCCCCCGCCGACCCUCCUGUCCCGCCGGCACCGCGGCCGACGCUUGCGCCGAGCUCGCGGGGGCGGUGCCCGAGCCGUGGGGGGGCGGCGGGCAGAGGGGGGCGCCGAGGGCAGGCGCAGGGCCGCAGGACGGCCCGCAGCCGCCCGCAAGCCCCUGCUCGGGCGCACCGCUCUGAC